UUCCUCCAAUGAUGAUUACUUAAUGUAAUUCUUGAUAGGAAGAGUAUGAUACAUAAUGAGUACUAUACACCUAGCUGAUUCUACGUC